UACGGAGGGGGCGAGUGUUGUUCGGAAUUACUGGGCGUAAAGGGCGCGCAGGCGGCUGGGCAAGUCGAGUGUGAAAUCCCUUGGCUCAACUGAGGCAUGGCGCUCGAAACUACCUGGCUUGAGGGCGGGAGAGGGAAGUGGAACUCUCGGUGUAGGGGUGAAAUCUGUAGAGAUCGAGAGGAACACCGGUGGCGAAGGCGGCUUCCUGGCCCGUCCCUGACGCUGAGGCGCGAAAGCGUGGGGAGCAAACAGG
rnacentral:rRNA from 1 species